rnacentral:rRNA from 1 species
CCAAGAGGAGGCCAUCCGCUGUCGGAUAUUGGGCGUAAGGGCUCGCAGGCGGUUUCUUAAGUCUGAUGUGAAAGCCCCCGGCUCAACCGGGGAGGGUCAUUGGAAACUGGGGAACUUGAGUGCAGAAGAGGAGAGUGGAAUUCCACGUGUAGCGGUGAAAUGCGUAGAGAUGUGGAGGAACACCAGUGGCGAAGGCGACUCUCUGGUCUGUAACUGACGCUGAGGAGCGAAAGCGUGGGGAGCGAACAGGAUUAGAUACCCCCGUAGUCCCA